UAAUAAGUGUUUUAUGGCACUUUUUAAAUCCAUAUCCACCUUGUGUGCAAUGUCAGUCGAUCUUCUUCAUGGAGAUCGACCAAACAUCAACCUUUAUCUUCUAACUCUUUGUCUGAAAAAUAUUAUGAAUAAACAAUUCAAAAUA
rnacentral:misc_RNA from 1 species